UUUCACUUUCCGCAAGCGCUGGCUGAGGGAAGAGAAGCCUUUGGUCGCGGAAGUUCUGGAGAAGUACCCCCCGCUAAGAAGUGAGGAACAGCUCUCGCAGGAAUUCCUCAGGCACACUGUUGUUAACAUCGACAAUGCAAUUACACGGUUCAUAAACCAAUAUGGCGCAAAGGUGCUGACUCUAGCCUCGCUCAAAAGUGGAGGAUUACAGCCCAUCGCAGACUUCUGGAAACUAGUAGAAGCUGAGAAGGAUGAAACUAAAAAGUAUGUCCUUGCUGCGGGGGUGCUGUAUUUCUUGCCAUUGCUUGUGCGGGAGAAAGCCGGUGCACUUUUUACAAAAAUGGACAAUGCACAAGAACACGUUCAU